rnacentral:tRNA from 1 species
GGGUGAUUAGCUCAGUUGGUAGAGCACCUCCCGUUGACUUUUAAUCAAUUGGUCGCAGGUUCGAAUCCUGCACGACCCACCA